CAGGCUUAACACAUGCAAGUCGAGGGGCAGCAUGGUCUUAGCUUGCUAAGGCCGAUGGCGACCGGCGCACGGGUGAGUAACACGUAUCCAACCUGCCGUCUACUCUUGGACAGCCUUCUGAAAGGAAGAUUAAUACAAGAUGGCAUCAUGAGUCCACAUGUUCACAUGAUUAAAGGUAUUCCGGUAGACGAUGGGGAUGCGUUCCAUUAGAUAGUAGGCGGGGUAACGGCCCACCUAGUCUUCGAUGGAUAGGGGUUCUGAGAGGAAGGUCCCCCACAUUGGAACUGAGACACGGUCCAAACUCCUACGGGAGGCAGCAGUGAGGAAUAUUGGUCAAUGGGCGAGAGCCUGAACCAGCCAAGUAGCGUGAAGGAUGACUGCCCUAUGGGUUGUAAACUUCUUUUAUAAAGGAAUAAAGUCGGGUAUGCAUACCCGUUUGCAUGUACUUUAUGAAUAAGGAUCGGCUAACUCCGUGCCAGCAGCCGCGGUAAUACGGAGGAUCCGAGCGUUAUCCGGAUUUAUUGGGUUUAAAGGGAGCGUAGAUGGAUGUUUAAGUCAGUUGUGAAAGUUUGCGGCUCAACCGUAAAAUUGCAGUUGAUACUGGAUAUCUUGAGUGCAGUUGAGGCAGGCGGAAUUCGUGGUGUAGCGGUGAAAUGCUUAGAUAUCACGAAGAACUCCGAUUGCGAAGGCAGCCUGCUAAGCUGCAACUGACAUUGAGGCUCGAAAGUGUGGGUAUCAAACAGGAUUAGAUACCCUGGUAGUCCACACGGUAAACGAUGAAUACUCGCUGUUUGCGAUAUACUGCAAGCGGCCAAGCGAAAGCGUUAAGUAUUCCACCUGGGGAGUACGCCGGCAACGGUGAAACUCAAAGGAAUUGACGGGGGCCCGCACAAGCGGAGGAACAUGUGGUUUAAUUCGAUGAUACGCGAGGAACCUUACCCGGGCUUAAAUUGCAGAUGAAUUACGGUGAAAGCCGUAAGCCGCAAGGCAUCUGUGAAGGUGCUGCAUGGUUGUCGUCAGCUCGUGCCGUGAGGUGUCGGCUUAAGUGCCAUAACGAGCGCAACCCUUGUUGUCAGUUACUAACAGGUUCCGCUGAGGACUCUGACAAGACUGCCAUCGUAAGAUGUGAGGAAGGUGGGGAUGACGUCAAAUCAGCACGGCCCUUACGUCCGGGGCUACACACGUGUUACAAUGGGGGGUACAGAGGGCCGCUACCACGCGAGUGGAUGCCAAUCCCAAAAACCUCUCUCAGUUCGGACUGGAGUCUGCAACCCGACUCCACGAAGCUGGAUUCGCUAGUAAUCGCGCAUCAGCCACGGCGCGGUGAAUACGUUCCCGGGCCUUGUACACACCGCCCGUCAAGCCAUGGGAGCCGGGGGUACCUGAAGUGCGUAACCGCGAGGAGCGCCCUAGGGUAAAACUGGUGACUGGGGCUAAGUCAUAACA
rnacentral:rRNA from 1 species